UUAACAAAAUGCUUUUAUCUCAUUCUUUUCCAUAUCUGACAAAUAAUAUAUUAGUUAUUUCAAUCUUUUUUCAAUAUUAAAUUUUUGGAGGAAAGUAUCUUACGCCCGUAUUACGUUGCGUAUAUUUUCCUGGUAAAUACACACACAUAAAUAUAGAUGAAUAGUUGUUGAAUCUGUGUUGCUUGGCCGGGUAAUUCCAGAUUGAUACAGGAUUAGUAAACGAUUCACCAUAUGAAGAAGCUGACCAUAUUUUACACUGCUGUUUUAAUUCAUUAUUAUGAAGAACAAAAUUACAAUUAUUGUGAUAAUUACUUAUAGUUUAAUAGAAUGUGGGUAUACACAAAGAAGCAGAUGUGGUCUAGAGAAAUUUCAGUGUAAUAAUGGUCAAUGCAUAGCAAGUGAAUUAGUAUGCGAUGGACGAGCAGACUGUAAAGAUAAAUCUGAUGAAACCUAUGCUGAAUGUAAUAAACCAGAAAUUAUAUGUCCUGGUUAUGCAUUUCGAUGUUCAUAUGGUGCAUGUGUAGAUGGAGAUGCAACUUGUAAUGGAAUAAAAGAUUGUGUUGACAAUAGUGAUGAAACUUUGUUUAAAUGUACAAGUGCUUCAUAUAAUGCAUCUACAUCAUGUACAAAGGAUCAGUUUAAAUGCAACAAUGGACAGUGUAUUUCAGAAAGUAGUUUAUGUGAUGGAAAUGCUGAUUGUGUAGAUAAUUCAGAUGAAACAUUUAUUCAAUGUGGAUCAAUUACUUGCUCAGAGCUUUUCUUUCGUUGUUUCUAUGGUGCCUGUAUUGAUAGUAACUUAAAAUGUAAUGGAGUUACAAAUUGUGUGGAUGGCUCAGAUGAAGAUCCAAAACUUUGUGGAGGUACUACAACAACAGUUAGACCAGCUCCACCAAUUUUUACUUUUCCUACAGAAUCUUCAUCUGAUGUAUCACCACCUUGGAUUCCUGCAACCUGUACUGUACCAGCACAACCAAAAAAUGGUUACAGGAAGUUAUACAAACCACAUUGUUGUGAUUCUAUAGGAAGUUCACAAUCAUGUGAUCUUUGUGACAUCUCCCAGGGUACUAAGAUAAAGCCAGGAGAAUAUUUAGUUUAUAGUUGCAAGCCUGGUUAUGAGCUUAAAGGUCGCGAUCAGAUAUUUUGUACUCGGGAUGGUCAAUUAUUAAAUAUUCCAGUUUGUACAGAAAUACGCUGUGAAGGCUUGGAAUCAAAUUCAAGAAGUGCUAAAUGUCAAUACCAAGGACAAUAUGUAUCGUGUCAAUCUAGUGUUUCGCCUUAUACGGAAGCAAGGUUGAAAUGUCGUGGUAGUUAUCGUCGAGAUACAACAUUACUAUCAACAGCGGAAGUUACCAGGUGUAAUAAAACUGGUCAAUGGGAACCAAGGCCGAUACAAUGCGUUCCAGAAUGUGGUGUAUCACCUAUAGACUUAGUACCACUUAUUGUAAAUGGAACUCGACCUAACAUUACUGAAUUUCCAUGGCAUGCCACACUCUAUAGAGACAAAUCACUCAAAGAACCUAAAGAAUUUAUUUGUGGGGCAACUAUUAUUCAUGAGAAAUUUCUAGUUACAGCAGCACAUUGUGUGUAUGAUGAUAUUGAUCCUUCAAAAUAUUAUAUAGCAACAGGCAACAUUUAUAGAGAUUAUGAUUUCCAAUUUCAUGAUCCAAUAAUAGUAAAGAAGGCUAAGGUAAAAAACAUAUACGUUACGUGUAAUUAUAGAGGACUUGAAGGAAAUUAUGCUGAAGAUAUAGCUGUAUUAGAGAUUGAAACACCAUUCAAAUUUUCAUCUAUAUUAGUACCAAUAUGUUUAGACAUUGCUCGAGACUUAGUUGGACUAGAGGUGGGGGAUGUUGGAAAAGUAGCAGGAUUUGGAAAAACAGCUUCAGGAGCAAGUUCUUUCGUCUUACAAUCAAUUACAGUUCCAUAUGUGUCUGCAACUAAAUGUAGAUCAUCAAGCGAUUAUCAUCAGACUAAAAAGUAUAUUACAUUUGAUAAAUUUUGUGCAGGUUACACAAAUGGAUCAUCAGUUUGUGAUGGUGAUAGUGGUGGUGGAUUUGUUGUGAAAAAAAAUGGAGUGUGGUACUUAGCAGGUAUUGUUAGUGUUAGCCUUGGUACAAGAAUACUAGGAGGAAGUAGCACUUGUGACAGUUAUUCAUACACUCUAUAUACAACAGUUUCUGAACAUGUGCAAUGGAUUCAGGAUGUUCUUCACAAGUUACAAGAUCAACAAUGUUAGAAAACUAACAAUGUUCAAAUGUUCAGGAUAAUUUAUACGAAUAUGGUGUACUAUAUUUACAUCAUUAUAUACAGAUGCCCAAUCUUGGGGAUUAGCUGAUUUACUUCGAAAAGGUGAAAAUAAAGCACUCAUUCUUUCCUCAUCAUUCCAACAAUUUGGCAUUCUUUCAGAUGGAAGAGGCAAAUUAUUAUCCAUCUACAAAGAUAACAAAUAUUAGUAAAACAAGUAAAACGGUAAACAAUUAAUAAAUAGUAUUUAACAUUAGAUAGGUUACAUUUUAUAUGUAACUGCGAAAGAGUGUUAAUAUAUACCUUUGUACAGCAAUAAUAAUGAUUCAAUUAGAA